GAUGAACGCUGGCGGCGUGCCUAAUACAUGCAAGUAGAGCGGAGAGGGGACGGGGGAGUAACACGUGGAUAGCCUCCUAUAAGACUGGGGAAACUUCGGGAAACAGGAGCUUAACCGGAUACUUAUAGAGAGAUCCAAGCUGCAUUAGCUAGUGGGGAAGGUAACUGCGUACAAAGGCCACGAUGCAUAGACGACCGUAGAGGGUGAUCGGACACACUGGAACUGAUACACGGUCCAGACUCCUACGGGAGGCAGCAGUAGGGAAUCUUCCGCAAUGGGCGCAAGCCUGACGGAGCAACGCCGCGUGAUUGAUGAAGGGCUUCGGAUCGUAAAACUCUGUUAUUAGGGAAGCGGUACCUAAUCAGAAAGCGACGGCUAACUACGUGCCAGCAGCCGCGGUAAUAC
rnacentral:rRNA from 1 species